rnacentral:rRNA from 1 species
UACGUAGGGGGCGAGCGUUAUCCGGAUUUAUUGGGCGUAAAGCGUGUGUAGGCGGUUUAUUAAGUAUAAGAUUAAAGCCCGAGGCUUAACCUCGGUUCGUCUUAUAAACUGGUAGACUUGAGUGUGGUAGAGGCAAAUGGAAUUUCUAGUGUAGCGGUUAAAUGCGUAGAUAUUAGAAAGAACACCGGUGGCGAAGGCGAUUUGCUGGGCCACUACUGACGCUGAGACACGAAAGCGUGGGGAGCAAAUAGG